UAGCCCAGAAUAAAGUAUUUAAUAAUCCCAUCUAAUUCUAACGCCGACUAGCCACGCCUCCUCGACCAGCCCACUGCUCUGAUUGGCUGAGAGUAGAGAGCCGGGCGAAAUAUUUGAAUAAAAUCUCCACCACGCUUCACGCGUGGAAAUUAUGAAUCCUCAGCUGACAUGGACGGUGCAAAGGGAUGUGUUUCUGUCAAGUUCUUCAAUUACAGCCCGCGAGAUUAAUCCAGCUUUUCAUUUCUAACUUGACUCUGUUGUUGUUUAGGGUUUUCCAUCUGUACUUGCACUUAAAGGCAAUUUCACCAAGUGAUGAUUAAUGAUGUUUGAGAUAAAAUAAUCAUCAGAAAUCUUUAAGGCAUUAUAUAUCAUUACAACUUUGUCAAGAAGUCGCUUGUAAAAGGACAAACAAGUGGAAUUUGGAAGAAAACACAUGCAUUGAUUAUAGGCUACAUAGCUGCAGCGACCGCCAGCUGUCAAUCAUUGUCUUAACGAGCAAAGAACCUCUUGGAGUAAAUCUUCAUCUCGGUUCCUUUUGGAGAUGGGAAGCCGGACGCCGGUGCUGUUAGCGGUGCUGGUGAUGGUGCUGCUGCUUGUUCCUGAGAGGUGUGAAGGCAGAAAGGCACGCGGUGGCCGGACUCACACACGGCAGACCCAGCGGGACCGGACGGAGACCACAGAGAGCUUCCCUCUGGACCUUACAGCCGUGCAGGACGGCAACGUGGACACGUUCAUGGAGCAGGUGAAGAACCUUGCUCAGUCCCUUUACCCGUGUUCGGCUCAAAAGCUGGAGGAUGAGAUGAAGUUACACUUUUUAGAGAACUCCUCGGUGACCUGCAACGACGGAACACCCGCCGGGUACUACAUGAAGGAGUCACGGGGAAGCAGAAGAUGGUUGCUGUUCCUGGAAGGGGGGUGGUACUGCUUCAACAAACAAAACUGUGACACCAGGUACGACACCAUGAGGAGGCUGAUGAGCUCUACAAGGUGGCCUCAGACACGCACAGGUACAGGGAUUCUGUCUCCUCAGCCAGAGGAAAAUCCACAUUGGUGGAAUGCAAACACAGUAUUUAUCCCUUACUGCUCCAGUGACGUGUGGAGUGGAGCCUCACCAAAAACUGACCAAAAUGAUUAUGCAUUCAUGGGAUCUCUGAUCAUUCAGGAGGUUGUAAAGGAACUCCUGACAAAAGGGCUGGAUAAUGCAAAAGUCCUCCUGCUGGCUGGAAGCAGUGCUGGGGGCACAGGUGUUCUGCUGAACGUUGACCGUGUGGCUGAGCUCCUGAAGAGUCUGGGGCACAACUCCAUUCAGGUCCGAGGGCUUGCAGACUCGGGAUGGUUUCUGGACAACAAGCAGUAUCGCUGCACGGAUUGUGUGGAUACCCUCGGCUGUGCCCCAACCGAGGCAAUAAAAAGAGGCAUCAGGUACUGGGGCAGUGUUGUACCUGACCGCUGCAGACUGGCUCACACUGGAGAAGAAUGGAACUGCUUCUUUGGCUAUAAAGUCUACCCUACCCUGAAAAGUCCAGUGUUUGUGGUGCAGUGGUUGUUUGACGAGGCUCAGCUGACAGUUGAUAACAUUCACCUCACAGGGCAGCCGGUGCAGCAAGGCCAGUGGCGUUAUAUCCAGAACCUGGGCAUUGAGCUCAGAAACACUCUCAAAGAUGUUCCGGCCAUGUUCGCACCUGCAUGUUUAUCACACGAGAUUAUCACGAGAAAUUACUGGAUGGACGUGCAUGUGAAAGGCACGUCUUUGCCUCGUGCUCUGCAGUGCUGGGACCGCAGCCUCCAGAACAGCCUCCGUAACAACAGCAGCCAUCGUUCUCCGCCCCGUGCAUGCCCACUGCAUCUGAUUGACAGCUGCCCGUGGCCUCACUGCAACCCGACGUGCCCUACGAUCCGAGAUCAGAUGACGGGACAGGAAAUGAGCGUCAUCCAGUUCCUCACUCAUAUGGGCUUCGACGUGCAGCGCAUGGCACAACAGCAGGGCAUGGAAGCUAGCACGCUACUGGGCAUGCUCAACAAUGGCAACUGAUCUACGUGCACAGAAGUGGAAUGAAACGAUACACACACACACACACACACACACACAACCAGUGUAUUAAAGCAGCACAAUGCUAAUCUGAA